rnacentral:rRNA from 1 species
UACAGAGGUCUCAAGCGUUGUUCGGAUUCAUUGGGCGUAAAGGGCGCGUAGGCUGCGGGGCAAGUCGGGUGUGAAAUCUCAGAGCUCAACUCUGAAACUGCACUCGAUACUGCUUUGCUCGAGGACUGGAGAGGAGAUUGGAAUUCACGGUGUAGCAGUGAAAUGCGUAGAUAUCGUGAGGAAGACCAGUGGCGAAGGCGGAUCUCUGGACAGUUCCUGACGCUGAGGC